rnacentral:rRNA from 1 species
AGUGAACGCUGGCGGUAGGCCUAACACAUGCAAGUCGAACGGCAGCACAGUAAGAGCUUGCUCUUACGGGUGGCGAGUGGCGGACGGGUGAGGAAUACAUCGGAAUCUACUUUUUCGUGGGGGAUAACGUAGGGAAACUUACGCUAAUACCGCAUACGACCUACGGGUGAAAGCAGGGGAUCUUCGGACCUUGCGCGAUUGAAUGAGCCGAUGUCGGAUUAGCUAGUUGGCGGGGUAAAGGCCCACCAAGGCGACGAUCCGUAGCUGGUCUGAGAGGAUGAUCAGCCACACUGGAACAGAGACACGGUCCAGACUCCUACGGGAGGCAGCAGUGGGGAAUAUUGGACAAUGGGCGCAAGCCUGAUCCAGCCAUACCGCGUGGGUGAAGAAGGCCUUCGGGUUGUAAAGCCCUUUUGUUGGGAAAGAAAAGCAGCAGGUUAAUACCCCGCUGCUCUGACGGUACCCAAAGAAUAAGCACCGGCUAACUUCGUG